GGGGUUAUUAAGGAUAAUUAGCAAAUUUAUAAAUAAGGAGGUAAGCAACCUAAAAGCUACAUUUCUAAAGUGGCAAUCCUAAGGGAAACCUUUUAUUUAAAACUUCCUGAAGUAAAUCAUUUUAGUAAGGAAAGGAAAGGAAAUCAACCGAGACUCCGAAAGUAAUGGUGAGUGAAAUCGGAUUAGCCUAUGAGAAUUAAAAAAUGAAACAAAACACACUUAUUUUUUUUAGUCUUUCUAAUCAACUUCAUUUGUGUUCCAAAGAAGGUAACAACCAUAGUCCUGUAAUUUUUUUUUUUAAUCAUAUUUUUAUCUAUAAAAAAGAAAAGAUAAAAAAAACACAAAAAAUACGAUGAGAGAAAACUUGUCGGAAUAUAGGGGUACCAUCCUCUAAGGCUAAGUAUUAUAAAUUUAGCGAUAGUGAACAGUACUGUAAAGGAACAUGUGAAAAAGUAAAUAAUAAAAUUAAUGAAAUAGAUAUUGAAUUAGUAACUCUAUAAGCAGCCGAAAUUAACUUAAAACAAUAACGGCGUACCUUUUGCAUAAUGGGUCAGCAAGUUAAUAGGAAUAGCAAGGUUAAAAGCCUUAGCGAAAGCGACUAAACUUAUUUAAAAAAGUAAAAUUUUUAUUUUACAAUUUAUUUUUAAUUUGAAUAAAUUAAAAAAAAGUAAUACCUUGUGUUAAAUAAAAAAUUAAAUUUUUUUUUAUUAUUGAUAUAAGUUAUUAUUUUUUAAAUUAUAGUUUUGGGUUAGUUAUUUCUAUUAGACCCGAAGCUAGAUGAUCUUUUUAGGGCCAGAUUAUUAAGGAUCGAACGGGUGAAUGUUGCAGAAUUCUCCGAUGAGUUGGAAAUGCCAAUCUGAUCUAGUGCUAGCUGGUAUUCUUCGAAACAUAUGUAAGUAUGACAUCCAAUUAAAUUUAUGAAGGUACAGCACGGAAAUUCCGAACAAGUAUUAUUAUUUUUUUCAAACAAUGUUUUUGUUUAUAAAAAUUUAAAGUAAUAUGCGUUUAGGUUGCGGGGAUCUAGUAAAUCUUACCAAUGGAAUUGAAACUCGGAAGUACAUAAAUUGAUGUUGGAUAUUCAGACUGCUCAUGAUAAGUUGGGUAGUCAAGACGAAAACAGUCGAGAACACGUUUUAAGGUCCCAAAUGAUUAUUAAGUGAAAUUAAAGAUGUUACAAAUUGCAAGCAGCUGUAAAAUGAGCCUGGCAGUCGCUACUUUUUAAUGAACGUUGUAACAACGCAGCAGCUCUUUAGAUUGUAGCACUAAAAAUUUAACGGGUCUAAAUAAUCAACCGAUAUCGUGUUAAUUAAUAAAUAUUUUUUUUUUUAUUAAUUUAGGUAGAAGAACAUUCAGAAACGGUAGAAACACAGUGUUCCAUUGUGAUUGACGAACUGAAGAGAGAAUGCUGACAUGAGUAACGUAAAAAGAAGUUUUAAUACUUCUCGCCGAAUACGAAAGGGUUAUAAGUAAGGUUUAAACUAACUUAUGUUAAAUGCGGGUCUCUAAGGUACAGAACCAUUGUUCUGGCUGAUGAGGUAGUGAUUGUUAUGUCUUAAUGGAAGAUUGGACCUAGAAAAAGAAUCACUUCUGAAGAAUUAUUAAUUUAGUUUUGAUAUAAUUAUUUAUAAUUAUAUUAGAUUAUAUUUAAAAAGGUCACAUUUUUAAAUAAAUGGACUGUAAACAUUUUAAAUUUAAGUUAUAAUGUUAAUUGUUAUAUUUAGGUGAUAAGAUAACAAUUAAGCUUAAGUAAAAAGAACUACCGUACCCUAAACCGACACAGGUUCGUAGGUAGAGAAUACUAAGGCGUAGAGCUAAAAGUUGUAAAGGAACUCGGCAAGUUGUCCUGCAUUGUGUUCUGGGAAAACACAUAAGUGGGUAAAACUAUCAAACUCCGGGGACACCCUAAAACUUAUGGUACCAAACUAUAGUCGAAAGGCUAUAAGUGGAUGGACUAAUCACCCAUGUAAGGUAAUAAGUCAUAAGAUGAUUGAAAAUGAAAUGGGUUAUCGCGGAUCUAAAUCAGAAUUUCAAAACCCACAGCCAAAUGAAAUAUCUGUAAAAGAGCAACGAGUAGACGGUAGUUGUUGCAUUAAAAAUAAAAUAUUGCAAUUAAGGUGUACUCUAAUGGGAUUCCAAAGAAAUUUGCCAUGUUAAAUGAGGUCCGGUAUCAAUAAUGUAACGAAGGUCUCACUGUCUCUACAACUUGCUCAGUGAAAUUGAAUUACCAGUGCAGAUGCUGGUUACUCUCAGUGGGACGGGAAGACCCUAUGCAGCUUUACUGUAGUUAGUUAAUACACUGAUCUAAAACAAUUCAAAUCAAUAGAAAUUAGGCAUGUCGACAGACGUAAUCCGAAAGGAAAGUGGAAACCUCCUGAUUUGAAUUGGGUUAGUGUUUACCUUAUUAAAUAGAAAUUUGGGAUAAUUGACUAAUUGGCAGUUUGACUGGGGCGGUCGUCUUUAAUAAAGUAGCAAAGUACAUCCAAAGAUUUAUUAAAAAAAAUUCUUUUUAUAAGGUAUAGCUAGAAAUCGAAUGGAGAUCAAUCAACCAGUGUAAAGGUUGCGCAGAGUGUAAUGGCGGAAAGCAUACCUAACUGAAAGACUUAAAAGUCGACCAGAUACGUAAGUAGGGCAUAGUGACCCCUCGCUAUAAAAUGGAAUAGACGGGGAUCAAUUGAUAAAAGUUACGCUAGGGAUAACAGGCUGAUAGCCGGCGAGAGUACACAUUGUCCCGGCUGAUUGGCACCUUAACUUU
rnacentral:rRNA from 1 species